UUUGUUAAUAUAGUUUCAUAAAAAACAUUAGAAUGUGAACCUAAAAAUAGAGAUUUAAAACCACUCUU
rnacentral:tRNA from 1 species